rnacentral:tRNA from 1 species
ACUUAAAUAGUUUAAUUAAAACUUUGAUUUGUGGCAUCAAGAAUGUAUUUUAUACUUUAAGUA